rnacentral:tRNA from 1 species
GGGGUUGUGGCUCAGCGGUAGAGCGCUCGCCUAGCAUGUGCGACGCCCUGGGUUCCAUCCUCAGCACCACA